CUGCGGAGGAUCAUUAACGAGUUAGGGUCUCUCUGGCCCGACCUCCCAACCCUUUGUCUACUUGACCAUCGUUGCUUCGGCGAGCCCGUCCUCACGGACCGCCGGAGGGAUCUUUACUGGCCCUCUGGUCCGCGCUCGUCGGUAGCCCAACCUUUAAAAUCUUUAACUAAACGUGCCUUAAUCUAAGUACAAUUAUUAAAUAAAAGCAAAACUUUCAACAACGGAUCUCUUGGUUCUGGCAUCGAUGAAGAACGCAGCGAAAUGCGAUAAGUAAUGCGAAUUGCAGAAUUCCAGUGAGUCAUCGAAUCUUUGAACGCACAUUGCGCCCUUUGGUAUUCCGAAGGGCAUGCCUGUUCGAGCGUCAUUAUCACCCCUCAAGCCCUCGGCUUGGUGUUGGACGGUUUGGUGGAGGCCCCCUCGGGGGUUCCUGCCCCUCCCAAAGACAAUGACGGCGGCCUCGUUGGACCCCCGGUACACUGAGUUCUUCACGGGACACGUAUCGGACACAUGGGUUUACGGGACACGGUCUGCCUCCCCUCAGGGAGAAUCUUUCUAAGGUUGACCUCGGAUCAGGUAGGGAUACCCGCUGAACUUAAGCAUAUCAA
rnacentral:rRNA from 1 species